rnacentral:lncRNA from 1 species
UCCCUGAACGAUGGCACUGGCCUCCAUUUUUCGGGCCAUAUCCACUAUGGCAUGGAAGCUCUCCCUAUCUGCUGACUGGAUCAAGGAGGAAUAUCUGGAGUGGAGUUUCAUGAUAUACCUCCUUGACCUUUUCUGGUCUGUGUCAAGGUUUUGCCCUGCAAAUGGCAACAGCUCCAAGAAUCUGUCUGUGAACUCCUCUACACCCAUCUCAUCAGUCUGCCUCAACUGCUCAAACUCUAUCAUCU